rnacentral:rRNA from 1 species
CGACUAAGCCAUGCGAGUCGAAUGUUCUUCGUGAACAUGGCGGACUGCUCAGUAACACGUGGACAACCUACCCUUGGGUCUGGCAUAAUCCUGGGAAACUGGGUAUAAUUCCAGAUAGGUCACAGAUGCUGGAAUGCACUGUGGCCGAAAGCUCCGGCGCCCAAGGAUGGGUCUGCGGCCUAUCAGGGUUGUAGUGGGUGUAACGGACCUACUANCCUACGACGGGUACGGGUUGUGAGAGCAAGAGCCCGGAGAUGGAUUCUGAGACACGAAUCCAGGCCCUACGGGGUGCAGCAGGCGCGAAAACUUUACAAUGCGGGAAACCGUGAUAAGGGAAUCUCGAGUGCCAGCAUAUAAUGUUGGCUGUCCAGAUGCCUAAAAAGCAUCUGUUANCAAGGGCCGGGCAAGACCGGUGCCAGCCGCCGCGGUAACACCGGCGGCCCGANUGGNAACC